ensembl:lncRNA
GUCUGUCAGGCGUUGUAUGGAGGCGAGGAAGAAAGAACCCAAACGCAGGACUGGCAGGUAGGUGAGGUUUAUUAUAAGGAGUGGGUGAAGGGGCACUGACUGGCUGGACAACUGAAUGGCGGACUGAACUGAGGGAACACACGGGAAGGACAACAUAACAUCAAUGACAUGACAGUGAACGAGUAGAAACAGAGGGCUUAAAUACACAGACUGAUGAGGAUGAUAAUGAGAGACCGGUGAGUACACAGCUGAACAUAAUCUGGCUAAUGACACAAGACGAGCUGACACAGGAAAAGGCGAAGCUGAGGCUGGACCAGGCGAAGCAGAAGCCGAGGCCGGACCAGGCGAAGCUGAGGCCGGACCAGGCGAAGCAGAAGCCGAGGCCGGACCAGGCGAAGCUGAAGCUGAGGCUGAGGCUGGACCAGGCGAGGCAGCGGCUGAGUCUGAUGCCGGACCAGGCGAAGCAGUGGCUGAGUCUGAUGCCGGACCAGGCGAGGCAGCGGCUGAGUCUGAUGCCGGACCAGGCGGCGCGGAAGCCUCUGGCUGGAGACAGGCAGGGCCAGUAGGCGCGGAAGCCUCUGGCUGAGGAGCGGCCGGGCCAGCGGGUGCAGGAACCCCUGGCUGAAGAGCGGCCGGGCCAGCGGGUGCGGAAACCCCUGGCUGAAGAGCGGCCGGGCCAGCGGGUGCGGAAACCCCUGGCUGAAGAGCGGCCGGGCCAGCGGGUGCGGAAACCCCUGGCUGAAGAGCGGCCGGGCCAGCGGGUGCGGAAACCCCUGGCUGAGGAGCGGCCGGGCCAGCGGGUGCGGAAACCUCUGGCUGAAGAGCGGCCGGGCCAGCGGGUGCGGAAACCCCUGGCUGAGGAGCAGGAGAGCUCACAGCUGGCUCUGGGUGCUGUGGCUGCAGGUCCGGGAACUGAACGGGAUGGUGGACGGGCGACUGGGAGACAGGAGGCGACUGGACUACAGACUGAACAGGAGCAGACUGGACUGACUGGACUACAGACUGGAC